UUAAGUUAAUAAGGGCGCACGGUGGAUGCCUUGGCACUAGGAGCCGACGAAGGACGUGACAAACGACGAUAUGCCUUGGGUAGCUGUAAGUAAGCGAUGAUCCAGGGAUUUCCGAAUGGGGGAACCCAACAGGUAAUACCUGUUACCUACAUCUGUUAAGGAUGUGAGGAGGAAGACGCAGUGAACUGAAACAUCUAAGUAGCUGCAGGAAGAGAAAGCAAAAGCGAUUGCCUUAGUAGCGGCGAGCGAAACGGCAGAAGGGCAAACCGAAGAGUUUACUCUUCGGGGUUGUAGGACUGCAAUGUGGACUCAAAGAUUAUAGAAGAAUGAUUUUGGGAAGAUCAGCCAAAGAGAGUAAUAGCCUCGUAUUUAAAAUAGUCUUUGUACUUAGCAGUAUCCUGAGUACGGCGGGACACGUGAAAUCCCGUCGGAAUCUGGGAGGACCAUCUCCCAACCCUAAAUACUCCCUAGUGACCGAUAGUGAACCAGUACCGUGAGGGAAAGGUGAAAAGCACCCCGGGAGGGGAGUGAAAUAGAACCUGAAACCGUGUGCCUACAACAAGUUCGAGCCCGUUAAUGGGUGAGAGCGUGCCUUUUGUAGAAUGAACCGGCGAGUUACGUUAUGAUGCGAGGUUAAGUUGAAGAGACGGAGCCGUAGGGAAACCGAGUCUGAAUAGGGCGCCUUAGUAUCAUGACGUAGACCCGAAACCAUGUGACCUACCCAUGAGCAGGUUGAAGGUGCGGUAAGACGCACUGGAGGACCGAACCAGGGCACGUUGAAAAGUGCUUGGAUGACUUGUGGGUAGCGGAGAAAUUCCAAACGAACUUGGAGAUAGCUGGUUCUCUCCGAAAUAGCUUUAGGGCUAGCGUCGACAUUAGAGAUUCUUGGAGGUAGAGCACUGUUUGGGUGAGGGGUCCAUCCCGGAUUACCAAUCUCAGAUAAACUCCGAAUGCCAAUGAAUUAUGGUCGGCAGUCAGACUGCGAGUGCUAAGAUCCGUAGUCGAAAGGGAAACAGCCCAGACCACCAGCUAAGGUCCCAAAAUAAUUGUUAAGUGGAAAAGGAUGUGGGGUUGCACAGACAACUAGGAUGUUAGCUUAGAAGCAGCUAUUCAUUCAAAGAGUGCGUAAUAGCUCACUAGUCGAGUGACCCUGCGCCGAAAAUGUACCGGGGCUAAAACAAUUUACCGAAGCUGUGGAUACCUUUAUAGGUAUGGUAGGAGAGCGUUCUAUGUGUGAUGAAGGUAUACCGUGAGGAGUGCUGGAACGCAUAGAAGUGAGAAUGCCGGUAUGAGUAGCGAAAGACAGGUGAGAAUCCUGUCCACCGUAAGACUAAGGUUUCCAGGGGAAGGCUCGUCCGCCCUGGGUUAGUCGGGACCUAAGGAGAGACCGAAAGGUGUAUCCGAUGGACAACAGGUUGAUAUUCCUGUACUAGAGUAUGUAGUGAUGGAGGGACGCAGUAGGCUAACUAAAGCAGACGAUUGGAAGAGUCUGUCUAAGCAGUGAGGUGUGAAUUGAGUCAAAUGCUUAAUUCUAUAACAUUGAGCUGUGAUGGGGAGCGAAGUUUAGUAGCGAAGUUAGUGACGUCACACUGCCAAGAAAAGCUUCUAGCGUUUAAACAUACUCUACCCGUACCGCAAACCGACACAGGUAGUCGAGGCGAGUAGCCUCAGGUGAGCGAGAGAACUCUCGUUAAGGAACUCGGCAAAAUGACCCCGUAACUUCGGGAGAAGGGGUGCUGACUUAAAGUCAGCCGCAGUGAAUAGGCCCAAGCAACUGUUUAUCAAAAACACAGCUCUCUGCUAAAUCGUAAGAUGAUGUAUAGGGGGUGACGCCUGCCCGGUGCUGGAAGGUUAAGAGGAGUGCUUAGCGUAAGCGAAGGUAUGAAUUGAAGCCCCAGUAAACGGCGGCCGUAACUAUAACGGUCCUAAGGUAGCGAAAUUCCUUGUCGGGUAAGUUCCGACCCGCACGAAAGGCGUAAUGAUUUGGGCACUGUCUCAACGAGAGACUCGGUGAAAUUUUAGUACCUGUGAAGAUGCAGGUUACCCGCGACAGGACGGAAAGACCCCAUGGAGCUUUACUGCAGUUUGAUAUUGAGUGUCUGUACCACAUGUACAGGAUAGGUAGGAGUCUAAGAGAUCGGGACGCCAGUUUCGAAGGAGACGCUGUUGGGAUACUACCCUUGUGUUAUGGCCACUCUAACCCAGAUAGGUGAUCCCUAUCGGAGACAGUGUCUGACGGGCAGUUUGACUGGGGCGGUCGCCUCCUAAAAGGUAACGGAGGCGCCCAAAGGUUCCCUCAGAAUGGUUGGAAAUCAUUCGCAGAGUGUAAAGGUAUAAGGGAGCUUGACUGCGAGAGCUACAACUCGAGCAGGGACGAAAGUCGGGCUUAGUGAUCCGGUGGUUCCGUAUGGAAGGGCCAUCGCUCAACGGAUAAAAGCUACCCUGGGGAUAACAGGCUUAUCUCCCCCAAGAGUUCACAUCGACGGGGAGGUUUGGCACCUCGAUGUCGGCUCGUCGCAUCCUGGGGCUGUAGUCGGUCCCAAGGGUUGGGCUGUUCGCCCAUUAAAGCGGCACGCGAGCUGGGUUCAGAACGUCGUGAGACAGUUCGGUCCCUAUCCGUCGCGGGCGUAGGAAAUUUGAGAGGAUCUGCUCCUAGUACGAGAGGACCAGAGUGGACUUACCGCUGGUGUACCAGUUGUCUUGCCAAAGGCAUCGCUGGGUAGCUAUGUAGGGAAGGGAUAAACGCUGAAAGCAUCUAAGUGUGAAACCCACCUCAAGAUGAGAUUUCCCAUGAUUAUAUAUCAGUAAGAGCCCUGAGAGAUGAUCAGGUAGAUAGGUUAGAAGUGGAAGUGUGGCGACACAUGUAGCGGACUAAUACUAAUAGCUCGAGGACUUAUCCAA
rnacentral:rRNA from 1 species